GAUUGAAGCUUGCUUCAUGAUUCAGACCUUGGUGAGUGGCGGACGGGUGAGUAACACGUGGGUAACCUGCCCAGAAGUGGGGGAUAACAUUUGGAAACAAGUGCUAAUACCGCAUAACAACUUAGAUCACAUGAUCUUUGUUUAAAAGAUGGUUUUGCUAUCUCUUCUGGAUGGACCCGCGGCGUAUUAGCUAGUUGGUGAGGUAAUAGCUCACCAAGGCGAUGAUACGUAGCCGACCUGAGAGGGUAAUCGGCCACAUUGGGACUGAGACACGGCCCAAACUCCUACGGGAGGCAGCAGUAGGGAAUCUUCCACAAUGGACGAAAGUCUGAUGGAGCAAUGCCGCGUGAGUGAAGAAGGUUUUCGGAUCGUAAAACUCUGUUGUUGAAGAAGAACAUAUGUGAGAGUAACUGUUCACGUACUGACGGUAUUCAACCAGAAAGCCACGGCUAACUACGUGCCAGCAGCCGCGGUAAUACGUAGGUGGCAAGCGUUGUCCGGAUUUAUUGGGCGUAAAGAGAAUGUAGGCGGUUUAUUAAGUUUGAAGUGAAAGCCCUCGGCUCAACCGAGGAAGUGCUUCGAAAACUGGUAAACUUGAGUGCAGAAGAGGAAAGUGGAACUCCAUGUGUAGCGGUGGAAUGCGUAGAUAUAUGGAAGAACACCAGUGGCGAAGGCGGCUUUCUGGUCUGUAACUGACGCUGAGAUUCGAAAGCAUGGGUAGCAAACAGGAUUAGAUACCCUGGUAGUCCAUGCCGUAAACGAUGAGUGCUAAGUGUUGGAGGGUUUCCGCCCUUCAGUGCUGCAGCUAACGCAUUAAGCACUCCGCCUGGGGAGUACGAUCGCAAGAUUGAAACUCAAAGGAAUUGA
rnacentral:rRNA from 1 species